GACGAACGCUGGCGGCGUGCCUAAUACAUGCAAGUAGAACGCAGUUGCGAACGGGUGAGUAACGCGUAGGUAACUGCCUCAUAGCGGGGGAUAACUAUUGGAAACGAUAGCUAAUACCGCAUCCUGUGAGAUGGACCUGCGUUGUAUUAGCUAGUUGGUGAGGUAAAGGCCAAACAAGGCGACGGUACAUAGCCGACCUGAGGGGGUGGUCGGGCACACUGGGACUGGGACACGGGCCAGACUCCUACGGGGGGCAGCAGUAGGGGAACUUCGGAAAAGGACGGAAGUCUGAACGAGCAAAGCCGGGGGAGGGGAGAAGGGUUUCGGAUCGGAAAGCUAUGUUGUUAGGGAAGCGGUAACUAAACAGAAAGGAACGGCUAACUACGUGCCAGCAGCCGCGGUAAUAC
rnacentral:rRNA from 1 species